GAGGAAAGAAGAAAGAUUUAUAUUCCACAUGAAGAAGACGACCAACUCUCUUUCAUCAAGAGGAACUCAAUGAAUACAUAAAGAACACUAACUCUUAAUAUAAGCAAGACUCGGGAGUGGCACACCAAGCACAGUGAGCUUAGUUAACAGUCACCUUCCCCACCAUUCCAGCUCCCUGGUGAGGAGCGCAGUAGAAGGUGUAGGUGCCCUUCUCCUUCAAGGUCACCUGGUAGGUCUCGCCUGGGGCAUUCAGUAGGUCCUCCUCGGGCAUGGAGAUGGAGCCGACGUUGACACCCGCGGGGAUCUCGUCCUCGUCGAACACCACGUUGUGGGGGAACCCGGCGUUGUUCUUGAACACGAUCGUCUCCCCCGAGGGCACCGAGAACUCGUUGGGCACGAAG
rnacentral:lncRNA from 1 species